rnacentral:rRNA from 1 species
UACGAAGGGUGCAAGCGUUAUCCGGAAUCACUGGGCGUAAAGGGUGCGUAGGCGGGUAUUUAAGUCAGGGGUGAAAUCCUGGAGCUCAACUCCAGAACUGCCCUCGAAACUGGCGAUCUUGAGUCCGGAAGAGGUAAGUGGAACUGCGAGUGUAGAGGUGAAAUUCGUAGAUAUUCGCAAGAACACCAGUGGCGAAGGCGGCUCACUGGCCCGUUACUGACGCUGAGGCGCGAAAGCGUGGGGAGCAAACAGG